AAUAAUGAUGACUAACUCCAAUACUGACCAAUGAUGUCGUAACCCGAAACUGAAU
rnacentral:ncRNA from 13 species